GUCAGCUGCAAAAGUAUUUAAUAUGAAACCGGCAAAUAAGUAUAGUAUAGGCCGUCUUCAAUGCAAAGUCUGUUUAUGUGUUGUGAUAAGUGAUUUAUCAUGCAAUAUUGAAAUUUCUAACGCACCAGUCAGAAAUAUAACCUCAAUUCAGUGAUAUAUGAAUAAAGAGAAAGAAAAUUACAGUGCUGAUAACCCCUACGAAAAUGGAUUUCAAACUAGGGAAAUUUGCUCC